ACACGAACAAGAAGCUGAUUUUAGCUCCCUCACACAACCGACACCCCACCUCCCUAUUCCUCCCCCUACUUCCCUCUUUGUUCCCUACACUACCUCCCCUAUGGUGAACCACCAUUCAUCAUCCACCACCUUCAUUUUUGUCUCCAGAAAUCUGCCUAUAAAUACAUAGAGGAAUUAAGCUUUGAAACACAAACUCAAAAUAAAAAAAAAAACUCACAUAUUCUUCUCCUCUCUCUCUCUUCUCGGUUUCGGGCACCACCGCCCCUCUCUCGCCGUGACCACGCCACCACCACCUUGUUGUAGCCACGUCUCUAACCACCAGUCGCUCUCGCCGGCAACCUACGCCACACCUGCAGCCGUCGCUAUCUCUUUCUCUCUCCUCUUCCCUUCGCUCCCUCCUAUGCGCCUUGCUGCUGCUUCUGCUUUUCCGCCGCUGACGGAACUCCGCAGACCGACGGCCGAUGCUAGUCGAUUCCCGCCACCGACCUCCCCUGUCGUUGCUGCGCUGCUCGCCGGAGACCCCUGCCCUGCCUCGUUCGUCCCUGCUCCAAGUGAGCAGAGUGUUACAAUAAUUUCAGGUUGAAAUUAUGGAGCACCUUUUUCAAGAUAGAAGCAGUCACAUGCUAAGAAUUCAACCAUGUUGAUUUUAUAUUUCUUUUGAGGCGAGGAUGUUCCACUUUGUAUUAGAUAAUAAUUAACGAGUUAGUUUUAUUUCUAGUGCUGGAUGAGCAAUAUUGCUCCUGCUUCACUUUAGCUGUACUCCGCAGAAGCGUUGAGUUAAGGAUUUGGGAAUGUUUUAUUUGUAACAGGUUUCUCAAGCAUUUUUCCCAUUUUGGGUUGUUCAGUUUACAAAGGAGACUCUGCCGAAAUUUCUAAAGAAUAUUAAUUUAUUAAA